rnacentral:sRNA from 1 species
CCCAAAGGCAUCUCUAAAACAACACCAGAGAAACUGAGUUGGUGGGCAUCUGAACAUCAAGUGAUCCACAUCUUCCUCUACUCCACACAGCUUGCAUAAGGGGCUGCCAGGCCACUUCAUUUUUUUCAGUUGUUUAGCAACUUGGAUUCUCCCCUUAAUCAUUAACCACAUAAAAUUUUUUAUUUUUAUAGGCAUCGGUGACUUCCACAAAAUCUGAAGCUGAGCAUCUUUAAUGCCCCCAAAAACCAUCUCUCUAUAUAAGGACUUUGUAGUGAACUUUCCUGACUUUUCUAGCUUCCAAAGCAUCAAAUCUCUUUCUGUCGAUAAUUGGAUAGUAGCAAGCUUUGCUUGCAGAUCUGUCCAUUCAGCCACCUCCUCUUGGGUUAAGGUCCUUCGUAGAUUAAUUUCCCAGUGCCUUCUUUAUACACUUGCUUAACCGUCAUCCCUGGAUCAGCACUGAUGCUAUAAAUGUAUGGGAACAUGAUUUUUAAAGGAACCUCCCCUAUCCAGAUGUCAUCCCAGAAUCUGAUGGCCGCCCCAUUACCUACCACAUAGGCACUGCCAAGGUUCAUCCAUCUUUUAACCUCGUGCAGACCUUUCUAAAACUGGGAGCCCCCCUCAACAGAUGAUUGAAAGAAACCUCCCCCAUUAGCUAGAUAUUUGUUUCUGAGAAGGUUGCAGCAAAGACUAUCAGUUCCAGAUUCCAACUUGUAAAUCCACUUACAAAGAAGAGCCUCAUUCAUGAUUUUGGUGUUGAGAAAACCUAGUCCUCCAUCCUCUUUGGGUCUACAAAGAGCCUCCCAUUUAAUCAUAUGGUACUUUUUCUUUCCUUCUAAACCAUCCAAAAAAAACCUCGCUCUGAUAGCAUCCAUUUUGUGGUGCACUUGGUCUGGUAAUAAGUAGAAACCCAUCAUGUACAUGGGAAUACUACUUAAACAAGAGUUGAUCAGUAUCGAUUUACCUCCAUAAGAGAGAAAACCACAUUUCCAGGUAGCCAAUCUUUUUUCAAUCUUCGCGACUGGCACUCCUAAAUCUUUUGCUGUCAGUCUCCCCUCACUAACAGGAAGGCCUAGGUAAAAAAUAGGUAACUCCCCUCUUUUGCAGUUGAAGAGAUCAGCCACACUCUCUGUGCUUCCUGUUCCUCUGCUCCAAUCACAAUUACUUCACUCUUUUGGAAAUUUAUCUUAAGUCCUGACAUAGCUUCAUAACAGUAUAAGAGAAAUUUGACAGUUAUUAUGUUCUCCUCUAUGUUUGUCAUGAAAAGUAUAGUGUCAUCUGCAUAUUGCAGGUGUGUCAGCCC